AAAAAAAACUUUUUUAUAAAUAUUAAUUUUUUUUAUUUUUCUUACUAAUUUUUAAAAAUUUAUAUUUUACACUCUCAACAUUUCAAGUUAUUGUAUUUAACCUUCCUCCCUUUCUUAUAAUUUAUACCGAAAAUAUUCUUCAAAAUGAUAAAAUGCAUAAAAAUUUAUUUUAUUUCUUCUCCAUUAAAUGAAAAUAUUUUUGAAAUUUUAAGGGACAAAAUAUAAAUUUUUGAAAGUCAAAAAAAAAUAAAAAAGUGAAUAUUUACGGGAGGUUUUUAUAUUAUUUAG
rnacentral:lncRNA from 1 species